rnacentral:rRNA from 1 species
GACGAACGCUGUCGGCGUGCUUAACACAUGCAAGUCGAACGGAAAGGCCCUGCUUUUGUGGGGUGCUCGAGUGGCGAACGGGUGAGUAACACGUGAGUAACCUGCCCUUGACUUUGGGAUAACUUCAGGAAACUGGGGCUAAUACCGGAUAGGAGCUCCUGCUGCAUGGUGGGGGUUGGAAAGUUUCGGCGGUUGGGGAUGGACUCGCGGCUUAUCAGCUUGUUGGUGGGGUAGUGGCUUACCAAGGCUUUGACGGGUAGCCGGCCUGAGAGGGUUACCGGCCACAUUGGGACUGAGAUACGGCCCAGACUCCUACGGGAGGCAGCAGUGGGGAAUAUUGCACAAUGGGCGGAAGCCUGUUGCAGCAACGCCGCGUGCGGGAUGACGGCCUUCGGGUUGUAAACCGCUUUCGCCUGUGACGAAGCGUGAGUGACGGUAAUGGGUAAAGAAGCACCGGCUAACUACGUG